UACGGGGGGGGCAAGCGUUGUUCGGAAUUACUGGGCGUAAAGGGCUCGUAGGCGGCCAACUAAGUCAUACGUGAAAUCCCCCGGCUUAACCGGGGAACUGCGUCUGAUACUGGAUGGCUUGAGUUCGGGAGAGGGAUGCGGAAUUCCAGGUGUAGCGGUGAAAUGCGUGGAUAUCUGGAGGAACACCGGUGGCGAAGGCGGCAUCCUGGACCGAUACUGACGCUGAGGAGCGAAAGCCAGGGGAGCAAACGGG
rnacentral:rRNA from 1 species